rnacentral:piRNA from 1 species
UGCUUACCUUUAACCUCGAGGCUACUGUC